rnacentral:rRNA from 1 species
UACAGAGGGUGCGAGCGUUAAUCGGAAUUACUGGGCGUAAAGCGUGCGUAGACGGUUAUUUAAGUCGGGUGUGAAAGCCCCGGGCUCAACCUGGGAAUUGCAUUCGAGACUGAAUAGCUAGGGUACGGUAGAGGGAAGUGGAAUUUCCGGUGUAGCGGUGAAAUGCGCAGAUAUCAGGAGGAACACCGGUGGCGAAGGCGGUUCUCUGGGCCUUACCUGACGCUGAGGUGCGAAAGCGUGGGGAGCAAACAGG